AAUUUUUAAACUUCUACACCUAAAAAUUAUCUUAAUCCAACAUCGAGGUCGCAAUCUCUUUUAUCGAUAUGUUCUCUUUAAAAAUAUUACGCUGUUAUCCCUUAAGUAACUUAAUCUUUUAAUCAUUAUAUAAUGGAUCAACUCAUUUAUCAAUGAAAAAAAGUUUAUUAAAUUUUCUUAUCACCCCAAUAAAAUAUUAUAUAAAGCUUUAAAGGGUCUUCUCGUCCUUUAAUAAAAUUUAAGCUUUUUAACUUAAAAAUUAAAUUCUAAAACAUUUAAAAUAAGACAGUUAAUAUUUCAUCCAAUCAUUCAUACCAGCUCCUAAUUAAGAAACUAUUGAUUAUGCUACCUUUGCACAGUCAAAAUACUGCGGCCUUUU
rnacentral:rRNA from 1 species